rnacentral:rRNA from 1 species
CCUACGGGAGGCAGCAGUGGGGAAUAUUGGGCAAUGGGCGCAAGCCUGACCCAGCAACGUCGCGUGAAGGAAGAAGGCUUUCGGGUUGUAAACUUCUUUUCUCAGGGACGAAGAAAGUGACGGUACCCGAGGAAUAAGCAACGGCUAACUACGUGCCAGCAGCCGCGGAAAUACGUAGGUGGCAAGCGUUGUCCGGAUUUAUUGGGGGUAAAGGGCGUGUAGGCGGGAGCGCAAGUCAGAUGUGAAAACUCAGGGCUCAACCCUGAGCCUGCAUUGGAAACUGUGUUUCUUGAGUGCUGGAGAGGCAAUCGGAAUUCCGUGUGUAGCGGUGAAAUGCGUAGAUAUACGGAGGAACACCAGUGGCGAAGGCGGAUUGCUGGACAGUAACUGACGCUGAGGCGCGAAAGCGUGGGGAGCAAACAGGAUUAGAUACCCCAGUAGUC